CCGGACUUGUCCGGCCUGGGUGGGAUCGCGGGCCGUUCGCGGUCCGCGCGCACCACCGGCCCGUCUCGCUCGCAACGUCGGGGAGGCGGCGCAAGAGCGUACACGUUGGGACCCGAAAGAUGGUGAACUAUGCCUGAGUAGGACGAAACCAGAGGAAACUCUGGUGGAGGUCCGCACCGAUUCUGACAUGCAAAUCGAUCGUCAAACUUGGGUAUAGGGGCGAAAGACC
rnacentral:rRNA from 1 species